UUAUACAAAAGUAAUAACAACUUUCCCGCAAUUUCUGAAUUAGCACAAGAAUACUUUACAAAUUACAUGCUUUGUUAUUUAAAUUAUUUACUUAUGAUAAAAAAAAAUAAAAGAAUAAUAAUAUACAAUGUUAUAAAUAAAUAUUCACAUAUAUUUGAAAAACUUAAUUAUAAUUUAUAUCUUUAUUUCCAUAUAGAAUUAGCACUAAUUUAUAAACAAAUAGGUGCUUUUCGUAAAAUGGCAUUUACAAUUUAUUUGUUAUGUUUACGUUUUUAUAUGAAUAAAAAAUAUUAUAUGGCUUACUUUUUUCUUAAUCAAUUACUUCCUUUUUAUGGAUUACCUUGUAUAGAUUCUAAUUUUUAUACAGCUGGCUCUUUAGUUGGGGAUUAUACUGGGUUAACAUCACAAGCAACAACUAAGGUCACCACCACCGACAACAACAGCAACAACAACAACAGCAACACUUUCAAUAUGAUAUUUAACAAUAAGCAACAAAAUUUCGAUAUAUUUAUUGAUUGGUUAGAACAGAGAAUAAAAUUUAAUGAAAAUAGGGGAGGGGAGAAAAAAAAUGAGCAGAUAAAAGGACAAGGACAAGGACAAGGACAAACAAAUGAUACAUUAUCACACAUAUUAAAUAAAAAAAAAAAUAAUAUUUCUAACUAUUUAUCUGAACAAAAUGAUAGUAAUAAAAGUAAUGUUCUUUUUGUUGAAAAAACUGGUAUUUAUUUGAAAAGUGAAAGAAGUUAUAAAAAUAAUAAUAUAACCAAAAACAUGCUCAAUAACGCAUAUGUAUAUAACCUAUUUGAAUUACUUUUAAAACAAACAUAUCCACAAAAAUAUAAAAAAAAUAACAAUAACUUUUAUAACUUGGAAAGUUUGUAUAUGUUGGAAAAAUUGGAAAAUUUAUUUUUAUUUUGUUCAUCUAAAGUAAGAUCGCAAAGUGUUUUAACUUUAUACCGACACAAUAAAAACGUACAAAUAUACAAAAAUGGGAAUGAAAAAAAAAAUAAAAAUAAAUAUAAUAAUAAUAAAAAAUUAAAAUUACUUUUUUUUAUUAGUUCAGUGUUAAAAAAAAUAAAUUAUAACAAACAUUUGAUAAUUUGUAAUUUAUUUAUUUUAACAUUUUUAUAUUAUAAUUUAUCUGAAGAAAAACAAAUAAAUAUUUUAUGUACAAUGCAUGAAAUAUUAAAUAAAAAAAAAAAAUAUAUUUAUUUACCUUUAUUUAUUACUUUAUUGUUGGAUAAAAAACGAAAAAAAAAAGAUUAUACUUAUUCAAAUCAAGUAUUUAACAAGGGAAGUGAUAAAAAAACAAUUAGUCGAAGUUUUGAUUUUUUCGCUGUGCAUAAUGACUAUUGUAUGGCUGGCGAUAGGAGUGGCCAUUGUAGUAGUGAUUCCAUUAGCGACUCCAUUGGCGAUUCCAUUGGCGACUCCAUUAGUGAUUCCAUUAGCGACUCCAUUGGUGAUUCCAUUGGCGACUCCAUUAGUGAUGUUAACAAAGUGACAGUACAAGUGAAAGUACGAGUGGCAGUAUGAGUGAAAAUAUAAACGACAAUACAUGGUAUGACAAACAAUCAAACAGCCCUUCUCCUAAUAUAUCCGAUACGUCUAUGUCAACAGAUGAAGAUACAUAUAUAAAAAAAAAAAGUAACUAAAAAAAGAGAAAGAAAAAAAAGAAAAAAAAAGUUACAUUAUUUUAGCGGAUGUACUGAAGGUAGAUGUGCACCCAUACCAAUACUUAUAGAUAUAAAAUAUAAAAAUGAAGAUUUUAACAAUAAUUGCGAAACAGUUUAUAGGAAAAAUGAAUUUGAUUGUUAUGUCCAAAAAAAAAAAAAAUAAAAUAAAAAAAAAUAAUAGUAGUAAUGGUGGU
rnacentral:lncRNA from 1 species